UGGGGAAUAUUGGACAAUGGGCGAAAGCCUGAUCCAGCCAUGCCGCGUGUGUGAAGAAGGUCUUCGGAUUGUAAAGCACUUUAAGUUGGGAGGAAGGGCAGUAAAUUAAUACUUUGCUGUUUUGACGUUACCGACAGAAUAAGCACCGGCUAACUCUGUGCCAGCAGCCGCGGUAAUACAGAGGGUGCAAGCGUUAAUCGGAAUUACUGGGCGUAAAGCGCGCGUAGGUGGUUCGUUAAGUUGGAUGUGAAAUCCCCGGGCUCAACCUGGGAACUGCAUUCAAAACUGACGAGCUAGAGUAUGGUAGAGGGUGGUGGAAUUUCCUGUGUAGCGGUGAAAUGCGUAGAUAUAGGAAGGAACACCAGUGGCGAAGGCGACCACCUGGACUGAUACUGACACUGAGGUGCGAAAGCGUGGGGAGCAAAAGCAGGAUUAG
rnacentral:rRNA from 1 species